GACCGCGUGGCCUAAUGGAUAAGGUGCUCGCAUCCGGAGCGGGAGAUUGUGGGUCGUUCGAGUCCCAUCGUGGUCG
rnacentral:tRNA from 1 species